rnacentral:rRNA from 3 species
AUACGACCAUACCCACUGGAGAACUCGGGAUCCCGUCCGCUCUCCCAUAGAUAAGCCAGUGAGGGCCGGAUUAGUAGUUGGGUCGGUGACGACCAGCGAAUACCUGGUGUUGUAU